AGUGAACGCUGGCGGUAGGCCUAACACAUGCAAGUCGAACGGCAGCACAGUAAGAGCUUGCUCUUACGGGUGGCGAGUGGCGGACGGGUGAGGAAUACAUCGGAAUCUACUUUUUCGUGGGUGAUAACGUAGGGAAACUUACGCUAAUACCGCAUACGACCUACGGGUGAAAGCAUGGGAUCUUCGGACCUUGCGCGAGUGAAUGAGCCGAUGUCGGAUUAGCUAGUUGGCGGGGUAAAGGCCCACCAAGGCGACGAUCCGUAGCUGGUCUGAGAGGAUGAUCAGCCACACUGGAACUGAGACACGGUCCAGACUCCUACGGGAGGCAGCAGUGGGGAAUAUUGGACAAUGGGCGCAAGCCUGAUCCAGCCAUACCGCGUGGGUGAAGAAGGCCUUCGGGUUGUAAAGCCCUUUUGUUGGGAAAGAAAAGCAGCAGGUUAAUACCCCGCUGUUCUGACGGUACCAAAAGAAUAAGCACCGGCUAACUUCGUG
rnacentral:rRNA from 1 species